rnacentral:rRNA from 1 species
GGAUUAGAUACCCUGGUAGUCCACGCCGUAAACGAUGUCUACUAGUUGUCGGUGGUCUUGUACUGCUGGUAACGCAGCUAACGCGAUAAGUAGACCGCCUGGGGAGUACGGCCGCAAGGUUAAAACUCAAAUGAAUUGACGGGGGCCCGCACAAGCGGUGGAGCAUGUGGUUUAAUUCGAUGCAACGCGAAGAACCUUACCUACCCUUGACAUCAUCAGAACUUGUUAGAGAUAACUCGGUGCCUUCGGGAACUGAUAGACAGGUGCUGCAUGGCUGUCGUCAGCUCGUGCCG